rnacentral:lncRNA from 1 species
UUGAUCUACCUGUUUUUGCUCCCAAAUCAGCUCAGAAGGUCCAGUUAGAAUGUCUUAGAGAAUAUUUGAGGAUGUCUGGAUCGCAAUACGUAUGAUGAGCUGGAUCAUAUGGUUAUUUAUGGCUUCAACAAAAUUCAAAUAAUGCCACCGGUAAAGCUCUAUGGUCGUGCUAAUUGCUCUGAAACAUCAAUUUUUAAAUCUUUAAAUCUGCUAUUGUUUUCUUUUACAGUUGGAACUCUUUCCUCGACCGACGUGACCACGGCUUUCUUUACCGUUGGAUUUUGAGAAAAUGGUACCAACACAUGGACCCAUCACCGUGAUCCACGUUUUGAGGUGCUCAAAGUUCUAAAGAUAUUUUUUUUAUUUGUUUGAAAUAUUUUUUAAAUAAAUUAAUUUAAAAUUUAAAAAUAAUUUAAAAUGAUAUUUUUUAUUUUAAUUAAUUUUAAAAAUUUUAUUUCUUUUAAAUUUCAAAUUAUAAUUCUUAUUUUUUUUCAAUUUUUUUAAAUUUUUGAUUUUUUAAUGACACUUUUUGUUUUUUAAAUUUUUUAUUUUUUUGAAUAUUUUUGGAAAGAAUUUGAAAUGAUAUUUUUGAAUUAAAUUUAUAAUUUUAUUUUUUUAAAUUCAAAUUUAUAAUUUUUAUUUCUUUCACAUUUCUUUCUCUUUUUUUUUCUAUGAUAUUUUUAAUUUUUAAAUUUUUAAGAUUUUUAUUUAGAUAUUUUUUUAAAAAAAAAUUAAUUUGAAAAAAAAUUAUCUAAAAUUAUCUUUUUUAUUUGAAUUNNNNNNNNNNNNNNNNNNNNNNNNNNNNNNNNNNNNNNNNNNNNNNNNNNNNNNNNNNNNNNNNNNNNNNNNNNNNNNNNNNNNNNNNNNNNNNNNNNNNNNNNNNNNNNNNNNNNNNNNNNNNNNNNNNNNNNNNNNNNNNNNNNNNNNNNNNNNNNNNNNNNNNNNNNNNNNNNNNNNNNNNNNNNNNNNNNNNNNNNNNNNNNNNNNNNNNNNNNNNNNNNNNNNNNNNNNNNNNNNNNNNNNNNNNNNNNNNNNNNNNNNNNNNNNNNNNNNNNNNNNNNNNNNNNNNNNNNNNNNNNNNNNNNNNNNNNNNNNNNNNNNNNNNNNNNNNNNNNNNNNNNNNNNNNNNNNNNNNNNNNNNNNNNNNNNNNNNNNNNNNNNNNNNNNNNNNNNNNNNNNNNNNNNNNNNNNNNNNNNNNNNNNNNNNNNNNNNNNNNNNUUUUUAAAAAUUCCAUUCAAAAUGUACGUUUUUAAAAAUACCAUUCAAAAUGAUAUUUUCUAUUUUUUUUUUGAACGACGCCUACGUGAAAAAUAUGGGUGAUGUGGCUCGAAGAAAACGUCAUUCAAAAUAAUUUUAUUUCUUUUAUAUUAAUUUUAUAAAUAAAUUAAAAUUUAUAUUAUUUAGAUAAAUAAUUUUUUAUAUAUAUUAUUUAGAAAAAAAAUCCUAACCAAAGACUUAUUUUUACUACCCUAGGUAGACCCACUAGGGCGCAUACUUUUAAAAUUAAACCCGUGGAGGAAGAUUCUACGGCUCAUAUGUCACGCUUGUCCUUUUAUCAUUAAAAAAAAAACACACUUACCCUUGUGACCUUGUGGCAAUAAUGGGAUAUGAAAGGAAGGAAUUCUUGACAGCCUGAAAAAGAGAAAUUAUUGGUUAGAGUUAUUCCAUUUAUUUUAUAUUAUUCAAUAAAAAAUCAAAAAAAAAUGUCGGCUAGCUCAUCAUCAUUAAUAAUGUAUCUUUUUCAUUCAAAAUUUUCAAAUAAAUUUAAAUAAUAAUAUAUUUUUUUCAAUAACAGCCAAUAAUUUUUCCUUGGAAGUGAAUUUUGACGUGUCCCCUUCAGCGUCCGUUUGGCAUCUCUUCAAGCUCGUGCACGCACUGUGGCGACCACCUUGUUGUUUACCGCCAUGGGAGAAUCCUAGGGAGUCGUGUGCCUGCCCUCCAUGUGUUUACCGCUUUUUCCUCUCUUUUUCCCACUCGGAUCCGAUGCCAUUUGUUUUCCUUCUAUGGACGGUUCUGAUCCGGUUGGAAUCACGGAACGCUGCUUGGGCGCGUGCAUCUAAUGGCUGCUGGGGUUUGGAUCCGGCGUCCCUAUCUCGCAUCAUAAUUCUUUUGGCAGUUACUAGAAUGCGUCCGUUUCUUUGUCAUGGCACCUCCGCGAGUGCCAACAAACUUGCUCGUUUAGGCCUCUUUUUGUGCCUGCAUUAUUUUCCCCCGUAAACACAUGGAAUCUAAUAUAAAUAUAUAUAUAUAUAUAAUUAUUUUUAAAAUAACUUUUAAUACUUAAAAAAUAAAAAAUGUUUUAAAAUAAUUUUUUGUUUUCCUCCCAUCCUCUCUAUUCGACCUUCCAAUAAAUUUUGCCCAACCUCUCCAUGCACGCUCAAACUCAACGUCGAGCAUGUCAUCACUGGUAAAUACGUUGGCCUCUCUCGUCUUGCCAACUGGUGACUAGCGACUGCCGAUUCGAUUGGUGACUACCACCUCCCUACUAGACCCAUCUUCUCCCCCGUGCCCUAUAUUAUUUCAAUUAUCACCAUAAAAAAUUACCUUGCGAUUUUCUAAAAUUCCACCAAAAUUUAGAUUCUGCAGUAAAAUUUUGCAGCUUAUCAUAAGCAUACUCAUAGAUCUUCCAACCGAUGGCAUUGUCAUGUCUAAUUGUUUGACUUGUCAUUGCUUGUUAUUGUUAUCUUUAUUUCCAUCUCUCCCUUUUUUUAUGGGAGGGGGGUUAAUUAUGCUUUUAAUUCUCGAAGUUUAGCAUAUUUGUUCAAUAAUUCAUAUAGUUUAAAAAUCUAAAAUUUGAUCUCUCUAAUCUAAUAUAGCCAUUCUCUUGGAUUUUGGCAACUUUCUUCCAUGUAAGAUUUUAGUUGAUGACAGCCGAUGCUUACACGAGAAAAUAAAUGUUUAUACGGCAAAAACCACCUAAACAAAUAUGAUGUGGUAUUAAUCGAGAUAAUAUAAUAUAGAUGAUGUGGCAUAUAAAUGGUGACAUAAUAUAAUGAAUGAAUUUUUUUUUGAUAAUAUAGCAUAGGAGAUGACGUGGCAUAUAGAGAAUAACAUGCAUGGUAUAUAUAUGAAUGAUGAUGGGCUAUGUGUUAUAGAAUUUUUUGCCCCAAAAAUAUCCAAUUGCGAAAUGCCAUGUAAUCAUCCAUAUACCAUAUCAUCACCUAUAUGGAUGAUGAUGUGGCAUACAUGUGAUGGUGUGGUAAAUGAUUGAUAGAGUGACGUAUGGAUGAUGAUGCAGUAUAUAUUAUAAUAUUUUUUAUUCAAAAAUAUCCUAUCGUCGAGUGAAGCUUAAGGACCAUAUAAAAAUAUUUAUAAAACUUAGAAAACCAAAAAUAUAAUUUAUGGUACAUAAAAGAUGAUCUGAUGCAUGGAUAAUGAUGUGGUAUUUGAACGAUAAUGUGGCACUUGGCGAUUAUACACUUUUGAGCAAAAAUUUCAUGAUACAUAUCGCAUCAUCAUUCAUAUGCCAUGUUAACAUCCAAAUUAUAUAUUAUCACCCAUAUGCUAUAUUAUCAUCCAUAUAAAUGAUGACAAGAUAUACGCAUGUAAGACUGCAAAUGGUCGGGUUAAUUCAUGAUCUGAUUCGAUCUGAUCGGUAUAGAUCUGAUCUGAACUAUUUUAAAAGAUCCGUGGAUCCAGAUCGAGUUCUAAAAUCAGAUCCAUUCUAUUUUUUGGAUCAUGUCUGAAUUUACUGAAUUUUGAUUCUACCCAAUCCAUGGAGACUUUUGAAUUAAUUUGGGUCCUGAGAUCAAUGAUUCGAUUCAAUCCGAUCCGACCCAACCCGAUCCGAUCUGAAUCUAUUCCUUAUCUCUCUUUGUUCUUAUAUUACAUGAAUGUUAAUUUUGAUUGAGCCUGUUUUAAUAUCUGUUGUUCUUGAAAAGGUAUGUUAUUGAUUUUUAGGUCUUUAUCUUUUAAAAUUUUAUUAAAAUAUUUUAAAUUUGGAUUAACCAAAUCAGGAGCAAUGGUGAGAAAAAUAUGAUUAGACUUUUUGGAUUCUUGGAUGAAGAGUGUUGGAUAUGGAGGCUCUAAUAGUCUUAUAUAUCAAGAUUAAAAUUUGUAGUGCAAAUAAGGUUUGUUUAUACUUAUUAAUCUUGUUAUUCAUAACUCACAUCCGAAUCGAUCCAGAUCCGGAUUCGAACCGGAUCCAUAUUUCAUAGAUUGGGGUUGGAUUUUAUAUGAAUCCAAUUGGACCCGCAUGACCCGUUGGGUCAAAAAAUUUGAUCAUAGACCCGACCGAUUUGACCCAAUCUCUUGUUGCGCUAAAUUUGAAUCUAAUAUUUAGAUCUGAUCAAAAAACCAGAUCGGAUCGGGUUCACUAAUGAUCCGAUCUAAUCAGACCCAUUUGCACCCUUAUACGUAUGAUGAUGUGGCACUUAGUGAUUGAUCACUUUUAGAUAAAAAAUUUCAUAGCUCCUAUGCCACAUCAUCAAAACAAAAAAUUUCAUCCGUUAUAUCAUGUCAUCUUGGUUAAUAACAUAUCAUCUCUAUUUAAAUAGUUUUUGCCACUUAAAUAUAUGUUUUCACCAUGUAAGUACCAAUUUUUUCUUUCUAGUGAGAGAAAUUGAUUGGAAUAUCUAAUGAAAGGACCGUAUCAGGUUCAGAAAUUAGAGGAAUCAAAUUUUUAAUUUUUAAAUAUUAAAAAUUAUUUAAAAAAUUCAUUAAAUUUUAUGAACUAAAAGUAUAAUUAAUUUUUUUAAAGAAUAAUGUCCUUGCCCAUCCUAUGCAUAUUUAUCACGUACAGAUAAUAAGUAUAUAUAAAAACCCAAAAUAUAGCAAGAGCCCAUGACUUAAUAUGUUCCCCUAUUUCAGAUUGAUACAAAAAAGAAUUCUUUAUGCACCAUGGGUGGUAUAGAAAAUCCGAUGUGGAGCGCACCACCUUAUCUCAUUGGUCCACAUAGUCAUCGCUUUUCAAUGCGUAUUUAAUACCUACAGUUUUAUUUUUUCAUUUGAAAUUUUAAAUGAUAAAAAUAUCUCUACUUUUUAAAAAAAAUUAUGAUAUCUUAUGUCUAUAUUAUGACAUUCUGAUGUGGAGCGCACCACCUUAUCUCAUUGGUCCACAUAGUCACCACUUUUCAAUGCGUAUUUAAUACCUACAGUUUUAUUUUUUAUUUAAAAUUUUAAAUGAUAAAAAUAUCUCUAUUUUUUGAAAAAAAUUAUGACAUCUUAUGUCUAUAUUAUGACAUUCUGCAUGUAGAAAGUCAUAAUUGGAUGCACAAGAUAUCAUAAAUUGGCACAGAAUAUCAUAAUUUUUUUCAAAGAACGAAGAUACUUUCAUUAUUUAAAAUUUUCAAAUGAAAAAAUAGAACUGCAGACAUUAAAUACACAUUGAAAAGUGGUUGGACAAAAAUACUCCUCCCAUUUUAUGAUAUUCUUGACUAUAUUAUAACAUCCUGCGUAUACCAAGUUAUAAUUUGAUGCAGGAUGUCAUAAUAUGCCAUGAUGUUAUAAUUUUUUAGACCAUAUUAUGACAUCCUGUGUGCGGAAAGUCAUAAUUUGAUGUAGGAUAUCAUAAAAUACCAUAAAAUAUCAUAAUUUUUUUCAAAGAGAAGGGAUAUUUUCGUCAUUCAAAAUUUCAAAUGAAAAAGUGAAAGUACAUGUAUUAAAUAUGCGUUAAAAAAUGGUGGCUACAUAGACCAAUCGAGAAAGACAGUGUACUCCAUGUCAGAUUUUCUACACCACUCACAGGCACAAAGAAUUUUUCAUUGAUACAAAUAUCUAUCUAAUAAACUUCUCAUCUCCAUCCAGAUCCACACCGGUCUCUCUCUUCACAAAACCACCAUAAAACUCCCUCUUUCUCUCUCUCUCUCCCCCUUUCUUUGUUUUGUCUGUCCCAUUGUCCUCGACUCUUCUAAAGAGAGUGAAGCAUAAGAGAGGAUGGCUCCCCUCAAAUACGUCGCUUUGGCUCUUUUUCCUCCACUCACAAUUUGACGUAGGAUAUCAUAAAAUACCACAGAAUAUCAUAAUUUUUUUUAAGAAAGAAAAGUAUUUUGGACAUUCAAAAUUUUAAAUAAAAAAUAAAAAUAUAUAUAUUAAAUAUAUAUUAAAAAAUAAUUAUUACGUGGGCCAACCGAGAAAAAUAGUGCACUCCAUAACAAAUUUUCUACGUCACCCGCGGGCACAAAGAAUUUCCCAUUGAUAUAAAUAUUCAUCCAAUAAACUCUUCAUCUCCAUCCCGAUCCACACCCGUCUCUCUCUUCACAAAACCACCAUAAAACUCCCUCUUUCUCUCUCUCUCCCUUUCUCCGUUUUGUCUGUCCCCUUGGCGUCGACUCUUCUGAAGAGAGCGAAGCAUUAGAGAGGAUGCCCCCCCCCAAAUACGUCGCUUUGGAUCUUCUUCUUUCUCUGCUGAGCUCGGUCGUCACGUCUUCCUCCUUUCGCGAUCCCGCUGGAUUCCUCGGGAGGGCCAAGGAAUCGGAAUUCUUGGACUGGAUGGUGGGCAUCAGGAGGAGGAUUCAUGAGAAUCCGGAGCUUGGGUACGAGGAAUUCAAGACCGGCUAGCUCAUCAGAGGGAGCUCGAUGCGAUGGGCAUCGCCUAUAAGCAUCCGAUCGCCGUCACGGGCGUUAAUUGCACGGUUUGUCGGCACGGGAAGCCUCCGAUUGUUGCUUUGAGGGCCGAUAUGGACGCCCUCGCGAUGCAGGUCAGCCGCGCUUUUCAAACUCUAAAAUCUCGCCACGUCGUUGGGUUUUUGACAUUUGGCAAGGGAUUUAUUGGAUUGGUGGUGGAGUUUCUUUUUUUGACGAAGAGCAUCCUUUCUGCGACAGUAAACAGCGAAAAUCUUCAUGAACACUUCCGGUUGCAGGGGAAAUGUUUGGGUCCAACAAUGUUAGAGAAGCAGCCGGUGAUGGGAGGCAAGGACUUCGCUGAAGCCGUUCCCAGGGAAUACCACUACUUCGUGGGGAUUAAGAACGAUUGACGUGGACCGCAACAUCCUGUGCACUCUCCAUACUUCACCAGAGGAAGCACUCGCAUGUGGUGCGCGCGGCCCUUCAUGCAUCUCCGACCAAUGCCAAUGUCCAUGAUGAAAUCCAGAUGUUCAUUUCCCUUCCUGGUGGCUUGAGUUGUAGAUAAAUUGGAUGGCUUCGUUUUUUUCCUUCUUGCUCAAUUAUUAUCUGUCUUGUAGCAAAUCAUCUAUGUCGUUUUGUUGAAGCAUUUCUUGUAAGAGAAUGUCCCAAGGCCACAAUAAAACUUGACCUUUUCUGUGAGAUAUCAACCACCACACAAACAAGCAGGUUUGGGAUUUUGUCUGGAUGCAGUCGGUGGUGGCAUUUUCCAAUGGUUAAUGGGGCUUGUAACUUUGUUUUAAGGGAGAUGAAUUUCUUAUUGCUCGUUUAAGGGGGNNNNNNNNNNNNNNNNNNNNUAUAUAUUGGUACAAUGUGAAGAGAGGUGCGAAUUGGCCAUGCGGACAAAAUCGAAGAAUGUUCCAUCAAAGAAGGGGGGAGGCUAAUUAUUGGGAUCUCUUCAAGAGAUCGACUUGCUUAGUGAGUACCUAAAUGUUCAAAACAAGGCUUGCUUAGUGAGUACCUAAAUGUUCAAAGCAAGGCUUUCUCAAUGUCUGAUGUUGAAAGGGAUCGGUUAAGUUGGACCUGACCAUAGAUUAUUUAAUUUUUUUUCUCCAUUUUUCUUCCUUAACACAUAUCUCAUCAUACAUUUAAUGCCUUUCCCUCCUUAACAACACAUGUUAGCAUGUUUUAUUUUUUAAUCACAUUUCCCUCAUUCUAAGUAAAUUACUUAUGAUCCACGUUGGACCAAAUCCAAUCAAUAAUUUCUCAUGGAAAGGGACCCAAAUGCUCAAUCGCUCAUUGUGUAGGCCAUCAAUCAACAUAGAUGAAGGGCCUAUGCGCGAGCAUCGUAUUUCCUAAUUUCCACCAAUCAGAAAGUAGAUGGUUGAAGAGGCGACAAUCAAAAAUCCUUUGACCUUCCACCUUCACAUAUAUAGAUAUAUGUAUGAUAUUAAAUAAUUUUAAUAUAUCUAAGUUUUUUUAUUUUUUUUGAUAUUGUGAUGAUUUUUUUAUAAUUAUUUUUCUAAUUUUUUGAAUUUUAGAAUAGUAUCGAGUUUUCUCUCUCCUUUUCAUUUAAUAAGUAUAGAGAUAGAAUGAUAUAGCAUCAGUCACAUUUCUUACAGUAAAAAUAAAAAGUCAGAUAAAAAUAUUUUGCAUGCAACUACAAUCAAUUCUCCAAACUACUAAAUAGUCUCUGAGUCACAUAUUAUCUCUUUUAUAGGACAACUAUUUUAUUCUAAUUAUUACUGUCUAAAUUUUAUCAAAAUUUAAAUUUUUUAGAAAUUAUCACUUUCGACGUAUUCAUAAAUCUNNNNNNNNNNNNNNNNNNNNAUUUUUUAGAAAUUAUCACUUUCGACGUAUUCAUAAAUCUUUUAAGUUGUUUGCACCGCUAUUGCUCAACAUCAUUUCUUUCUUUUUUUUUUUUUCUUUUUUUUUUUCUUUUUCAUCCUUUCUCUAGCAUAUUGUCCUUACUCUCAUGAUGCUUAUUUUUUCACGUGCAUAGCUCAAAGAAUGGUAAAAGCCCAUGAUUUUAAUAUGUUCCCUCUUUUUAAAGAAUUUUUCAGCAUUGGCGCAAAUAUCCAUCAAAUAAACUUCCCAUCUGCAUCCACAUCCACAUCCACAUCCACACCCAUCUCCCUCUCUCUCUCUCUUCUUUGCUUUAACUCUCCCUUUGGUGUCAACUCUUCAAAAGAGAGUGAAACAAUGGAAAGCAUGGCUUCCCCCAAAGGGGUCGCUUUGGCUCUCCUUUCUCUGCUGAGCUUAGUCCUCACAUCUUUCCUACCCUCGCGAUCCCGCUAGAUUCCUCAAGAGGGCCAAGAAAUCAGAUAAAAUUGAAGAAUGCUCCAUCAAAGAAAGGGGGAGGCUAAUUAUGGGCAUCUCUUCAGGAGACUUUUCUGGUGAGUACCUAACUAUUCCAAGCGAGGUCUUCUCAAGGUCCGGUGUAGAAAGGGAUCAAUUAUGGUUGGAUCUGAUCCACUGUGGACCAUCGAUUAUUUAACCAUUUUCUCUUUACUUUUAGUCCCUGACACAUAUCUUAUCAUACAUUUAAUACCUUUCCUCCCCUUGACAAUGCAUGUUAGCAUGUUUUUAAUCAUGUUUUCCUCAUUCUAAGUGCUAAAUUAUCCAUGAUCCACGUUGGACCAAGUCCAACCAAUAAUUUCUAGUAGAAAGGGACCCAAAUGCCUUAUCGCUUAUCGUAUAGGCCAUCAAUCAACAGAGACGAAGGGCUCAUGCGCCAGCCUAAUGCUUCCCAGUUCCCACCAAUCAGGAAGUCGGCAGUUGAAGAGAUGAAAAAGAAGAAUUCUUUGUCCUUCCGCCUUUAUUUAUACAGAUAUAUUUAUGAUAUUAAAUAAUUUGAAUAUAUCUAAAUUUUUUAUAUAUAUUUUUCAUGAUUUUUUUAUAAUUAUUUUUUUAAUUUUUUGAAUUUUAGAGAAUGGUUGAGUUUUCUCUCUCUUUUUUUUAUUUAACAAGUAUAGAGAUAGUGUGGUGUAGCAUCAGUCUUCUUUCUUCCAGUAAAAAUAAAAUACCAGAUAAAAGUAUUUUACAUGCAGCUAUAGUUAGUUCUCCAAACUACCAAAGAGCCCUCUAGUCACAUAUUAUGGCUUUUGUGGGCCAACAACUUUAUUUCAAUUGUUACCGUGGAAAAUUACUUUGUUAUCUAAAUUCCACCAAAAUUUGAAUUUUUCGGUGAACGUUCACAGCUCAUUACUUUCGGCGUAUUCAUGAAUCUUCCAAGCUACUUGCGUUGCCGUCGCUCGGCGUCGUUUUCUUCCUUUCUCUGGCGUGUUGUCCUCGCCGUCAGGAUGCUUAUUUUUUCACGUGCGUAGAACAAAGAAUGGUAAAAGCCCACGAUUUUAAUAUGUUCCCUCCUUUUAAAGAGAUUUCAAGCAUUGACGCAAAUAUCCAUGGAAUAAACUCCCCAUCUGCAUCUGCAUCCACAUCCACAGCCGUCUCUCUCUCUUCCUCUGCCUCUUCUUCGCUUUAACUCUUCCGAAGAGAGCGAGGCACUGGGAGAGGAUGGCUUCCCCCAAAGGGGUCGCUUUGGCUCUCCUUCUAUCUCUGCUGAGCUCGGUCCUCGCGUCUUCCUCCUCUCGCGAUCCCGCGGGAUUACUCGAGAGGGCCAAGGAAUCGGAGUUGUCGGACUGGAUGGUGGGCAUCAGGAGGAGGAUCCAUGAGAAUCCGGAGCUCGGGUACGAGGAAUUCAAGACCAGCGAGAUCAUCAGGAGGGAGCUCGACGACAUGGGCAUCGCCUAUAAGCAUCCGAUCGCCGUCACGGGCGUUGCAGGGUUUGUCGGCACGGGGAGGCCUCCGUUUGUUGCGUUGAGGGCCGACAUGGAUGCCCUCGCGAUGCAGGUCAGCCGCUUUUUAAGCUCUAAAAAAAGCUUGCAACAUUCCUGGGUUUUUUGACAUUUGGCAAGGGCUUUGUUGGGUUGGUGGUGGAUUUUCUGUGGAAAAUCGGAAAUUUUAGAUAGAGAGAGAGAGAAGACGUAAUUAAAAUUAAAAUGUUCCUUCUUAUUUUUUUUGUCCUGGAAACAUUUAAAAGUCAUUUCUUCGUGAAAUUUAUUGCAUCAUGCUUUUUUUUUUUUUUUAUGUAUAUGUAAUUCCAACUCUGUUUGCAAUGAAUAGGAGAGCGUGGAGUGGGAGCACAAAAGCAAAGUCCCUGGCAAGAUGCAUGCAUGUGGUCAUGAUGCCCACGUCGCGAUGCUGCUGGGUGCCGCUAAGCUCCUUCAGGAGUACCGUGAUGAGUUGCAGGUUCGACAUUCAUCAACGCUUUUCUAAUUUUCUGAAACGUUAUGGCCUUUAACUGUGGCGCGCGCGUAUAUAUAUAUAUAUCUGUGUGUGUAUGUAUGUAUUACAUGCGCACAUAAUUAUGCGGCUCAUUGGAUCCGAUUUUUAAGUCUUAUGCCCUUUAAGAUCUGUUCUUUUAUGGAUAAAUAUUAUAUAAAAAUUGAUUUUUUUUUAUUGAUCAAUUUUUGGAGAUUAAUUUUUUUGGAAUUCAGUUUUUGGGAUUUCCAUGACAAGAUAUGUUGUUACUGGAUUGUAUGAAUUGGAAAUUAGAUUUUCAGAACAUUGUAGUUAGGAAAGGUGACCCUUAUCAAUCAGAAUUAUGAAAGAAGUUGAAUAAAAAAUAAUUUGUCGAGUUCCUAGUCGUUUCUUGAUUUGGGCAAUCUUCCACUAGCAGAGAUGCUGUAGAAGGGUUUGCAGAGACCAUUGGUCUAUGCUCUGAACUUAUCUUAAAUCAUAAAUAGCUCCAGUUUAGCUUUACAAUAAAUAUCCACGGUUAAGUUCAGAACCUUUCUGUCAGGGUUCAGAAAGGAUAUAUCCAUGGUCUUGGGAAGUACUCUUUUGGUAUUUGGUAUCAACAAGGGUCACUUUCCAUCUAAGCAAGCAUUCUUUUGGUAUGAGAUAUCUACAAUUUUUGAAUUUCUCACUCACUUUCCGCAUACUCUGCUUUUGUUUCCUUUUACUACAGUAUAACUGCAGAGCUAUUUAUUGAAAAUGCACUUCUUUCCUAUAUGUUUGAUGAAGUAAAAGCGAUAAGAUGAUGUUCUCCAUGAGGGCAAUAGCCCUGCUCUGUACACUGGAUCCAAAAUUUUCGCUAGCAUGAGGAGCAAUUCUCAAAAAAAAAAAAAAUCUCUCAAAAUCUGAAGCUAGUAAUGAUUUUCAAGAUCACUCUGUUACCAUUGAGGACGAGGGUAAGUGCUGAGUGUCUGCAGUGAUUCAGUAGAAUUUACAAAAAGAAAUGGGGAAGAACAAGUCUCGGUCUUCACAUAGACCUUCGUGUUAUUGUUUUGGCAUGAGCUCACCAUGCACUGGAGGAUUUCUGCAGGCUAGAAUGUGUAGAACUGAAAGUAGUUUUUUUACCUUACAAAGAAAGGCUUGCACAAUUUUUGAGUCAAAUUACAGAUGCACGUAAAGGAAGAAUCAUGUUAAAUUACAUUUACCUUUAAUUUUGCAGUUAUCUUAAAAUACAUAACCUUGAAAAUACUGUGUUUCAAUUUUUUCUGUCUAUCUUUUAUGCUUAUGCUGCAAAAAUAGUCUUUUCAUGCUCUAGAGUGACAGUAUGAUCAAGAAUGCAUUUUUUUUUCUUCUUCAAUUUUUUUUAAAUUUCUGUUUGGUGCAAAGCCUCAGCAUUUUUCAUAUUGUAAACUGCUCAUGAUGGUUGUUAUUUGCAAUAGGGAACGGUCGUCCUUCUUUUCCAACCUGCUGAGGAAAGAGGUAGUGGGGCAAAAAAAAUGAUAGAAGCUGGAGCUGUGGAGAAUGUUGAUGCUAUUUUUGGGUUUCAUGUAACCCCUGAGUUUCCGGUUGGUGUAGUGGCAUCCAGGCCUGGGCCGAUUUUGGCUGGGAGUGGGUUCUUUGAGGCUGUAAUUAGCGGAAAGGGAGGUCAUGGUGCACUUCCUCAGGAAACAAUAGAUCCAAUUUUAGCUGCAUCAAAUGUGGUUGUAAGCUUGCAGCAUCUUGUUUCACGUGAAACUGAUCCCAUGGACUCACAGGUAUAUAUAUGUAUAUAUAUGAAUGGUUUUCAUGUAAAUCGUUUUGGAAAACAUCCACACUUUUGAAGCUUCCUUAUUGUUUCAUGUUUUCUUGUUUGAUUGAAAUUAGCAUGCCUCCUUCAUUCCCCAAAACAAUUUCUUUGACAUCUCAGUUCACAUGAUCAUGUCAAGCUAAAAGUUUCAUUACUGGUUCCUCUCUUGUUGUGACCACCGUGCAAGUAUUGGACUCAUGUUGCUUUUCAUCACAGGUAGUAACAGUGGCGAAAUUUCAAGGAGGCACUGCGUUUAAUGUCAUUCCAGAUUCUGUAACACUUGGUGGCACUUUCCGCUCCCUAUCAAACAGAGGCUUUUCUCAACUGAAGCAACGAAUUGAGGAGGUAUGAUAUCCUAGGAACUUUUUCCAAGCACAAGCUAACUCUCGAAAGAUCAUCUUUUGGACGAGCACUUAUUUGUAGAAGCUGAAAGAACCUAGUCCAUUAGGUCAACUAACACCAAGCUACUACAUGUUUUAGAGAGCCAUGACCAUCAAUGUGUCAGGCCCAGUUGGGAUCUCAAUAAGCUGCACUCAUUCUUUCUCAUCAAAGAAUGAGACCCAAUGUAACCUGCUGUGCCUAAAAAUUUCCAAGUUUGAACUGAGGUUAUGUCUUUGAGAUUCUCUCCAUAAUCAUAUCCAUAAGAAGUCUUGCAUGUAGCUCGAUGACUUUACCUUUUGCUGUACAUAAUUAGUUUUUGCCCUCUUGAUUUUGGUAACAACAGGUAAUUGUUGCACAAGCAUCCGUGCAGAGGUGCAACGCUACUACGGAUUUUAUGAACAAAGAACAUCCUUUCUUACCUGCGACAGUUAACAGCAAAGAUCUUCAUGAGCACUUCCAGAAGGUUGCAGGGGAAAUGCUUGGGUCCAACAAUGUCAUAGAGAAGCAGCCAGUGACGGGAGGUGACGACUUUGCUUUCUUCUCUGAAGCUGUUCCCAGGGCAUAUUACUACUUUCUGGGGAUGAAGAACGAUUCAGGAGGACCACAUCAUCCUGCGCACUCUCCAUACUUCACCAUCAACGAGGAAGCACUCUCAUAUGGUGCAGCCCUUCAUGCAUCUCUUGCUGUACGUUACCUUUCUGAAAACCGUAGCCCAUCUACGUCCAAUGCCAAUCUCCAUUAUGAACUCUAGAUGUUCAUUUCCGUUGCUGGUGCCUUGAGUUGCAGAUGAGGUAGCAGGCUUUCAUGCAGGUGGGUUAUGUUUUUGAUUUGACACCUGGAGCACUUAAAAACUCUGCAUACUUAGGUGAUGUCAAUAUUUAUAAUAGGCUGUGAUUUUGUUUUUUCGUGCUUAAAUUUUGCUAAAUGGUCAAUAUUUUGUGUAAUUAUUUUCGGUUCAUGUUAGAUGGAAAAAAACCCUUCACGUUGAGGUCCUGUUUGAAAAAUUCAGCACAUUGGAUUUGCUGGAUUUUCCAUUGAAUCAUGAAUUGCACAGUUUAUUUAAAUAAGGUCUGCAUCGACCUAGUCCAUCUCCACUAAAUCCCGUGGGAGGAAAAAGAGAAUCUCCGUAGAUUUCUUUUUUUUUUUUGGGGGGUUAAAUUCUACAGUCCAACAGAUCCACAUGUGGGAUUUAGGCAAAGAUUAGAUCAGGCCUUUAGACAAAAUUCAAUCCCAUGUUGUUGGAUUUUCCAAAUAGGCCCUAAAGCGUCUCUUGAGAAGUAUGUUGAUGUAAUGACUAAUGAGUGCGUGGUCCGGAGAUUUAUAUGGUGGUUUAAUUAAUAACCCAUGAUGUGAAACCAGAUAGACUGCAACGGUUUUAUUGGAUUCAAUUUGGAAGGAAGAACCAUUCUGAGAGUAGCCAGGAAGGUAAUUUGAGAACAGAAUAGCAGUAUUGCGCCCAUCACCCAUUCUGUAGAAUUUUAAAGGUCAUCUCGCCAUCUUCUGUACCACGGUGCAUCGCAGGAAUUAAGCUCUUCUUUUUCUUGGCCCAAUUCCUGGGCUAAAGCUAUCCCAACUCAAGAUACAUGUCAUCUCCUUUGGGAAAAGCUGGAGCAGGUAGCUCAUUAGUCAUUUCUAUGGAAAAAUAUUGUUUUGAGUUGUGGCUACUGCAAUCCAGUUAACUGGGAAUAAAAUUAUCGUAACUCUUGUUUGUGCCUGGAUCUUGUGCUUUGUUAGUAUGCAUGAUUGCCUGAUAUAUCUAUAGGCUGAAAAUCUUAUUGGAUUCAUUGGAUUGGGGCCAUACAACCAGAUGGAAAUAGGCUUACAAAUUGGGCUAGGCCAUAUCCAUAAGUACCUAGGACUGAUUUUUUUGGUAGGUCGUUCUGAAUCCCAUGGGAAGAAAAAAAAUCUAAGCAGGGCCUUUUCUUCUUCCUAUUGGAUUUGGGCUGGGCCACUCUACAGGCUUUUGUGUAUUUGUGAAAACAGGCCUAACCAAAGCUGAUUUUUUUUAAUUAUAUUGGCCUAAUCUUUGAAUUCCAUAAAAUUUUGAGCCCAAUCGUCCAAAUAGAUCCGAAGGGUUUGUUAGGCUAUUCUUAUAGGAUUGGACUAAAAUUCCUAUAAAAAUCAGGCUCAUUGACCCGUCUAACUUCCAUUUUAUAAGAAUUUAUCUAAACCCAACCUAAAUUCUAGCUAUUGGGCUCCAAGAAAAAGAAAAAGACCUAUGAAGAUCCGUUUCUUCUUCCUACAGAAUUUGAGCUGAAUGAUGUUUGCUUGAUAUAAGGCAAUGCUUAAAUUAACGGCUCAAUCCAUGCAUCCUACAGAAUUUUCAGUCUAAUCCAAUAGAAAUGGCCAAAGAGAUCCUAAUCUUAUUAAUCCAUCAGGCAAGGCAAUGACACAUGUCAGUGUGCAACAUCCUCAAUUGGCAACUUGGCGAAAUUGUGCAGUCAAGGGAACCUCCAGUUGUGCUUGGAAGAGUGCUGCUUCCUAGUUCUGUGUGAGGUUGUUUGCAGGCUUGCCUAAUAGCCUGAUUUAUAUGAUGUUCGGGGUUGUGCCGCAGGUAAUCUGAAUGGUUUGGUUAGCUGAAGGCCCAACAUACGUUUUGGACUUGUAUAGAUAGGUUUGAACAUGGACAUUUAUUUUAUUUUCUAUCUUUAUUGGCCUUUCCGUUUUAUCCUCCAAAAAAUGGUAUGGAGAACCAUGUCGUGGAUGACUUUGUUAAGCUAUAUGGACGAAGUAAUCUCAUGUCCACUGCCCAGGACCAUACUGUUCUAGUAUUCCUCAGGAGCUGUGAUAUAUAUUCUACUUCAUAUCAGUUAACUUCCAAUCCUGUCAUACCUUACAAAUCUAGUAGAAUCCGGUAGUUGCAGAGUCCUCUUUCCUUUUUUUUCAAGUUUUACAGGCUUGUUCUUUUUUUUUUCUUUUUUUUCUUUUUUUUCCUUCUUUUUAGAAGAAUAACAACAGUCUGGCCUUCUAGAGAGCAGUAGUUGCUACCUACUCAAUUUUUCUCUUUACGCGACUACCAUCUAGUUGCAACUUCUCUAGGCCACUCUACGAACCACCUCUUCUUAAAUACUCUCAGCAUCCGAAUGUAGCCACCAAUGGAAUCCUAUUCAUCUAGUCCUCUUCAAUGGCUGAGUUCCUCAGUCUCCGACUGCUGAGAUUGAUUCCUCCACGGCAUCGAGUGAAUGGCUCCUUAAUUUGAAAGCAGGAUUGCAACUUUCGGAUGGGAAUAUUAUAGCUCUCAUUUGCCCUCGAUGGAGCUGCUCUUGUCGACUGGUAAUCUAUUUUUUGGGCAGCAGGAAAGUAAGCGGUCGGGAAUCGGACAGCAAAUCUGAUGGAGCAUUUGUGCUAGCGGUUGGAGGGAUGCUUCAUGUCAAGGACUGGCACCUGCUCCCGAAGUCAUUCAAUAGUCCUGGAAAUUGGGAUUUAAGGAGGCAUGAGACUUCCAGAAUCAUAGCAAAAAUAACGUCUCUCUUGAUCAAAGAAGAUCGUAGAUGCUACUUAUUUCGAGAUAUUUUAGAUUUUUAAUAAUUUUAAAUUGAUUUGAUUUAAUUAAGAGAAAAUAUCAAAGGUGUUUGGUUUGGGGGGGGGGGAGGGGUUGUUAGAGUCUGAAAUUAAAAUGAAAAUAGGUGACUCCUACUGGGAUUGGAGGGAGGAGGGAAAGUUGAGGUCUGGAAUUGAAAUGGAAAUAAGUAACUCUCGUUCCAACCAUUUAGUUAGAGGGAAUUCAGCUUCGAUUCUGAUUUUAGUGAUGCCGAUUCCGAUCAUGAACUAAACACUUCGGAGGAUAUGGUCAUUCUGAUUCUCAUUUCAAUCUAUUUCGAUUUUAAUUUUGUUACAAAUAAAAUAUCUUCUAAAUAUUUAUAAUAUAAGAUAAUGAUCUCCGAAAGCCAAGAUAGGGUCUCUUCCAUCCAUGUCUCAUGAUCUUCGAUAUGUAAGACAUAUUUGGCCAAGUGAUUCUCCUUUCGCUUUAAAAUUCUUAAACCCACAUUCCAAGCAAAAUUUGAUGCAUGCUCGCACUGCCUCUAUUUCUGAGUCUUUUGGGCACGAACAAAACAUGAUUUCCUUUUUUCUGGGGUCAAGAGCUGAGAUUAUUUCACCUUUUCUAUUUCCAACAAUAAAUCCAAUGCAAUUAGUUUUUAGCUUUCCAAUAGCACCAACAUACAAAAGCUAAACUCCCAUAAGUCGCUUUAUAAUUUUUAAGUUAUUCAAGCUUUUGAAAAUUCUUUCCAAUAAGUGAAGAAAAUUGUUUGAUUUAAACUCUACAAUUCUCAAUGGAAGAGGAGAUAACAACAAAUAAAUGUAACACUGGUGCAGGCUGCUUCUUAGUUCUUGCAUAGGAUGCGUACCUCCUAAACUUUAAUUUUCUUUUUGACUAAUUCUUAAUUAAUUGGUAGGACCCCUUUAGCACAUCUCCGCAUGAAGAAUUUGAUUUUAGAUAGAGCAUCCAUUUUUCAUAUAAUUGGCCAUAAUCUAUCCUCCUUUUCAAUGCUGCUAGAAUCAUCGCAUUACCUUUCUUUCUUUCUUUUUUUUUUUUUCUAAGGAGUUUCACUCUUUUGGCAACAAUAUAUCCUGACUUCAUAUUGCAGUUCCCACUCGAUAAGUGAUGCUAAAUCAGCUUGUCAUGGUUUAAGCUCCCUCUGGGAUUAUCUCAGCUUCAUGUGGAAUAAAAAAAAUAAUUUCCAACAACUUCCUCUUUCCAUCUUUCCAAGCCUUCGUCAAUAAACUCUGCCAUCCUGUUCUGGCAGACUGAGACCAUUUCCUUAUGCCUCAAUGAGUUACAAAGUUUCCCUUUUCUAAGAAGAUCUUUGUAUCUUUGUAGUUCUAGAUUACUACAACAAUAAUACCAAAGGUUACUCAGCAAACAUUGACCUGGCGUUGAGAAUUGACAAAUAUGUAGAAACUCCUGUUUUUAUUUUUCAUAUAUGACCAGAUAAACUAAAAAAGCUGCCCCAUAAAGGAGAAAAAUUUCUCCUGCUCUUUCUUGUAAGAGAACAAAGAAAAAUUUUAAAUGUAGAGGGACACACAACCCUUCAUAUUCCACCUAAACGAGACCACAUGGGAGAUAAUGAAAGAAACAUAUCCAACUCUAGCCAGUAAAAGAGUGACAUAUGACCGAUGCGAAAGCAACUGAUAACCUAAACAAGUUCGUGGAUAUAGUUUAAAUAGAUGCCUAUUUCAAAUAAAAUGUGGUUGGGAAUGGAUGAAGAAGACAACCUCCUUCCUCAAGGGUGGGGGAACCCCUGCAAUGAGCGUGGCUUUGGCAUAUGAUUAAGUUGCAGUCGCUAACGAUUCAAAUCAACCUCAUCAGAUAUAUAGGUUGACCACAAAUUAACUAUGAUAUUUGUGAUUGAAUGUGAAUUAUUUAAAUGAAGAAAAUAUGUAAAAAUUUAUAUGGAUGAAAAUAUAUAUUAAGUAUAAAAAAUUUAAAUAAUAUCUUUCAAUUAAAAAAUUUUAAAUCAAAAGAUAAAAAUUAAGAUAAGAGCAUCCCAUAAAAUGUCGUGCCACAAUGGAUGUUUGAGGCUAAAGACCCAUGGAUGGAAACUCCUAGUAGCUUAUGUCAUGAUAUUAGGAUGACUUCAAGAUAUUUUAAAAUAAUUUAUUUAGCUAUUCAUACAUUCAUCGGAUGCUCAUACAAAUAAUGUAAACUAUAUCGUCAAAUAUUUCAGCACGAGAAUUUAGGACUAAUGCAGAUAUUAAAUAAAAUUUAGCACUGUUUGAUUCAGAACCCUUCUGCGGUGGUCGUCCUCCGUCAACCAAUCCUUAGCAUCCGCAGCAUUUAGAUCUUGCAUUUCAUUCCCUUGAUUCAGAACAAUCCACAUGCACUGAAUCCGAAACCCUAUUCAUUGCGACAAAAAAUAAUAAAUAUUAUUAUUUAUGGUUUACGAGAGAUGUCAUUUGAUUGAGACCCCCAAUCAUUUAAAAGGUAUCCUAUAAUUUACCACGGACGUCAUUAGCAUUAAUUAUCGAGUUCCACCCAAUUAUUAUAAAGAAGGAAUAUUCCUUCUCAGCUCAGCAGACGUGGCCACCUUCCAGACUCUUCUAUCUUCCACCGCGAGACCCCGGUCCAAACCAAGCAACGACUUAAAAAAAUUGCCACCGGGGGAUCCAGCCCUCCUUCUCAAUCGUCCGAUCAUCAUCAGACGGAAGCCGUUCCUCAGACUUAUCAGACCCACAAAUCGCCAAGAACCAUCCGAUCAGAACUGUUUGUAUCUGAUUUCUCGCAGUGACAUCAAAAAUAAUCCCAAAAAUCCACAAAAUAAUCAUAUAUAAAGAAGAGCAAUGAUAUAGCUAAUAAAACAGAUCAAACCAAGGACAGUACAUCAGUAUAUAAAGAGUCUCAUACAGAUCAGAUCUAUAGAUCAAACCACCAAAUCAAAGAACCCUAAGAGCAAUCAAGAUCUAGCAUCCAUGAGGAUGCCGCAGAAGGCAUCCAUAGAGGUAUGAUCCAAAACAAUGCUAUUAGAAAAGAAUCUACUAACAAACGCAUGGACGAGCAGUAUACAUAUAGGCGUAGAUACACAUCAGAAGCCGUCGGAUCUGGAGCCGGAAGGACGAGAUCUGAGGUCGGAGCCAUCGGAUCCAUCAGUAGCGGCGGGACCCGAGCAGGAACGCCACGGAGGAGAAGAGCAUGGCGGCGGCGAGAGGGGUUGAGAGGGCCGCAGCGCCAGAGGUGGGGCUCGGGGCGGGCGCUUCGGCGGCAGCGGCUCCGCCGGCGAGGGUCAUGACCGCGAGGACUGCCGCGAGGAGGACGGAGAGAACCUGGGUACUGACGGCUGCCAUUCUCUCUCUCUUCUACUGUUUAGGAUCACCGGAGCAGGAAAGAGAGAGAUUAGGGUUAGGGUUUUGGGGGAGGCUGAGGGGGGUGAGGGGGGUUUUAUAGUUGGAAGAGUGAGGGCACGGGUUUAGUUGGACGGGC